rnacentral:hammerhead_ribozyme from 1 species
AUCCAUCUGAUGUGUCCUAAAUAGGACGAAACACACAUUUUGGAU